CAAAACCAAAUAUAGCUUGGAAUGGAAAAUACAUAACAUUUAGGGCUAAAAGUAGAAACAGACCCCAAAACCUUUCAUUUCUAUCCAACCUCAACCUAAACUCACAAGAAUCCAACAUCCUCAACAUUUGGACAGCAUUUCCCCUAAAAUUUCAGAUUUUUCAUCCUACAAACAACCAUUUAAAUUCAUCCAAAACAACCACAAGUACACAUACAAAUCAUAAGCUAUUCAACACACCUCAUUAGGGUUACAAUACCCCUCAAUCUUAGCCAAUUAGAAGCUCAACAACCAACCAUAAUAAAGCCCUAAUUAGAAGCCCUAAAACUGAAAUUUUCCGCACAAAACUGAAAUUUUUCGCAAGCAAUCGCAAUAAACGCACAAAGGCUCCAUUUAACACAAUUUAGAGCUAUCAAUCCAAGGCCAACCAUAUCCAUCAUAUGAAAACAGAAAAAUCCCUAAAAAAUCUGAAAUUUAUCUAACUCCACUUUAAUCCAUGAAAUCUUCCAUAAAACAACCUAUUUAGCCACUACAAGUCACUAAUUUACCAUUAUUAGGAACAAAAAGUGAGUUUCCAAGCAAAAUACCUUGACACCUCAAGAAAGGUAGUAGCUUAGGGGUUCCUCC
rnacentral:lncRNA from 1 species